AACGAACGCUGGCGGCAGGCUUAACACAUGCAAGUCGAACGCAUCCUUCGGGGUGAGUGGCAGACGGGUGAGUAACGCGUGGGAACGUGCCCUUCAGUUCGGGAUAACCCAGGGAAACUUGGGCUAAUACCGGAUACGUGCGAGAGCAGAAAGAUUUAUCGCUGAAGGAUCGGCCCGCGUCUGAUUAGCUAGUUGGUGGGGUAAUGGCCCACCAAGGCGACGAUCAGUAGCUGGUCAGAGAGGAUGAUCAGCCACAUUGGGACUGAGACACGGCCCAAACGCCUACGGGAGGGAGCAGUGGGGAAUAUUGGACAAUGGGCGCAUGCCUGAUCAAGCCAUGCCGCGUGAGUGAUGAAGGCCUUAGGGUUGUAAAGCUCUUUCGUCCGGGACGAUAAUGACGGUACCGGAAGAAGAAGCCCCGGCUAACUUCGUGCCAGCCGCCGCAGUAAUAC
rnacentral:rRNA from 1 species